rnacentral:rRNA from 1 species
UGAACGCUGGCGGCGUGCCUAAUACAUGCAAGUCGAGCGAACAGAUGAGGAGCUUGCUCCUCUGACGUUAGCGGCGGACGGGUGAGUAACACGUGGAUAACCUACCUAUAAGACUGGGAUAACUUCGGGAAACCGGAGCUAAUACCGGAUAAUAUAUUGAACCGCAUGGUUCAAUAGUGAAAGACGGUUUUGCUGUCACUUAUAGAUGGAUCCGCGCCGCAUUAGCUAGUUGGUAAGGUAACGGCUUACCAAGGCAACGAUGCGUAGCCGACCUGAGAGGGUGAUCGGCCACACUGGAACUGAGACACGGUCCAGACUCCUACGGGAGGCAGCAGUAGGGAAUCUUCCGCAAUGGGCGAAAGCCUGACGGAGCAACGCCGCGUGAGUGAUGAAGGUCUUCGGAUCGUAAAACUCCGUUAUUAGGGAAGAACAAAUGUGUAAGUAACUAUGCACGUCUUGACGGUACCUAAUCAGAAAGCCACGGCUAACUACGUG